rnacentral:rRNA from 1 species
ACGGCGGUGUUUGGCACCUCGAUGUCGGCUCAUCACAUCCUGGGGCUGAAGCCGGUCCCAAGGGUAUGGCUGUUCGCCAUUUAAAGUGGUACGCGAGCUGGGUUUAGAACGUCGUGAGACAGUUCGGUCCCUAUCUGCCGUGGACGUUUGAGAUUUGAGAGGGGCUGCUCCUAGUACGAGAGGACCGGAGUGGACGAACCUCUGGUGUUCCGGUUGUCACGCCAGUGGCAUUGCCGGGUAGCUAUGUUCGGAAAAGAUAACCGCUGAAAGCAUCUAAGCGGGAAACUUGCCUCAAGAUGAGAUCUCACUGGGAACUUGAUUCCCCUGAAGGGCCGUCGAAGACUACGACGUUGAUAGGCUGGGUGUGUAAGCGUUGUGAGGCGUUGAGCUAACCAGUACUAAUUGCCCGUGAGGCUUGACCAUAUAACACCCAAACA